rnacentral:rRNA from 1 species
GUCUGUGGCCACGCCCCCAUGAACCUGCCCGAUCCCAUCUGAUCUCGGAAGCUAAGCAGGAUCGGGCCUGGUUAGUACUUGGAUGGGAGACCACCUAGGAAGAGCAGGUGCUGUAGGCG